AAAUUGAAGAGUUUGAUCAUGGCUCAGAUUGAACGCUGGCGGCAGGCCUAACACAUGCAAGUCGAGCGGUAGCACAGAGAGCUUGCUCUCGGGUGACGAGCGGCGGACGGGUGAGUAAUGUCUGGGAAACUGCCUGAUGGAGGGGGAUAACUACUGGAAACGGUAGCUAAUACCGCAUAAUGUCGCAAGACCAAAGUGGGGGACCUUCGGGCCUCAUGCCAUCAGAUGUGCCCAGAUGGGAUUAGCUAGUAGGUGGGGUAACGGCUCACCUAGGCGACGAUCCCUAGCUGGUCUGAGAGGAUGACCAGCCACACUGGAACUGAGACACGGUCCAGACUCCUACGGGAGGCAGCAGUGGGGAAUAUUGCACAAUGGGCGCAAGCCUGAUGCAGCCAUGCCGCGUGUGUGAAGAAGGCCUUCGGGUUGUAAAGCACUUUCAGCGGGGAGGAAGGCGAUAAGGUUAAUAACCUUGUCGAUUGACGUUACCCGCAGAAGAAGCACCGGCUAACUCCGUGCCAGCAGCCGCGGUAAUACGGAGGGUGCAAGCGUUAAUCGGAAUUACUGGGCGUAAAGCGCACGCAGGCGGUCUGUCAAGUCGGAUGUGAAAUCCCCGGGCUCAACCUGGGAACUGCAUUCGAAACUGGCAGGCUAGAGUCUUGUAGAGGGGGGUAGAAUUCCAGGUGUAGCGGUGAAAUGCGUAGAGAUCUGGAGGAAUACCGGUGGCGAAGGCGGCCCCCUGGACAAAGACUGACGCUCAGGUGCGAAAGCGUGGGGAGCAAACAGGAUUAGAUACCCUGGUAGUCCACGCCGUAAACGAUGUCGAUUUGGAGGUUGUGCCCUUGAGGCGUGGCUUCCGGAGCUAACGCGUUAAAUCGACCGCCUGGGGAGUACGGCCGCAAGGUUAAAACUCAAAUGAAUUGACGGGGCCCGCACAAGCGGUGGAGCAUGUGGUUUAAUUCGAUGCAACGCGAAGAACCUUACCUGGUCUUGACAUCCACAGAACUUUCCAGAGAUGGAUUGGUGCCUUCGGGAACUGUGAGACAGGUGCUGCAUGGCUGUCGUCAGCUCGUGUUGUGAAAUGUUGGGUUAAGUCCCGCAACGAGCGCAACCCUUAUCCUUUGUUGCCAGCGGUCCGGCCGGGAACUCAAAGGAGACUGCCAGUGAUAAACUGGAGGAAGGUGGGGAUGACGUCAAGUCAUCAUGGCCCUUACGACCAGGGCUACACACGUGCUACAAUGGCAUAUACAAAGAGAAGCGACCUCGCGAGAGCAAGCGGACCUCAUAAAGUAUGUCGUAGUCCGGAUUGGAGUCUGCAACUCGACUCCAUGAAGUCGGAAUCGCUAGUAAUCGUAGAUCAGAAUGCUACGGUGAAUACGUUCCCGGGCCUUGUACACACCGCCCGUCACACCAUGGGAGUGGGUUGCAAAAGAAGUAGGUAGCUUAACCUUCGGGAGGGCGCUUACCACUUUGUGAUUCAUGACUGGGGUGAAGUCGUAACAAGGUAACCGUAGGGGAACCUGCGGUUGGAUCACCUCCUUA
rnacentral:rRNA from 1 species